GAGGUGAGGUAAGGGAGGUAAAGACAAAAAAAAGGCCAUGGUGGCGAAGUAAAUACAAUAUAGUAAGUAAAAAAUAAAAAUAAAAUAAAAAAUAAACACUGGAAUGGUAGAUUCACAGUAGAAGAAUGUGCAAAGUAGAGAUAGAAAUAAUGGGGGUGCAAAGGAGCAAAAUAAAUAAAUACAGUAGGGGGAGAGGUAGUUGUUUGGGCUAAAUUAUAGAUGGGCUAUGUACAGGUGCAGUAAUCUGUGAGCUGCAUAAUAAUAUAAUGAGUAUAAUGAGUAUUUCUGUAUUUGAAUUUGGCGCUCUGCAAUCUCACUGGAUGUUGGCCAGGCUAGCAUCCCACAUACCCUAGAAAGGUUUAAAGGGAAGUGAUGUAAAGAAAAUGUUGAACAUAAAAUCUCUAAAGACUUGUAGUCAUAAUACUGAGAAAUGUAGAUUACCUAGGCUAUGCCAGUACAUGCUGAUGACAAAAUUGAGGAUUAAACUACAAAUAAAUUGAAGUGCUUUUGUUAUGGGAAUAUUAAUGUUUGUGGUUGUCACGGUGAGUGAAUGAGGACCCAAAAGCGAAUUAACUUAACAGAGCUUCUUUAAUAACCAAACAUAGGUAGGUUCAGACAGACCGGCAGAUUCCGACAGGACAGGACAAGGUUACAGCAAACAUGACGAUAGUCUGGUUCAGGCAUGAAACACAACAAACAAGAAUCCGACAAGGACAGGAACAAAAACAGAGAGAGAUAUAGGGACCUAAUCAGAGGGAAAAAGGGAACAGGUGGGAAACGGGGUGAAUGGGUAGUUAGGAGGAGACAAGGAACAGCUGGGGGAAAGCGGGGGAGAAAAGGUAACCUAAUACGACCAGCAGAGGGAGACAGGGUGAAAGGAAAGGACAGAAAGACACAGGAGACAAGGAACAGCUGGGGGAAAGCGGGGGAGAAAAGGUAACCUAAUACGACCAGCAGAGGGAGACAGGGUGAAAGGAAAGGACAGAAAGACACAACAUGACAAUACAUGACAAUGGUAAACAACAGGUAGGUUCGGAGCCUAUAAUUUUAGAACAGGUGGUAAUCUACCCACUUGAAUUAAUAUAUUGUCACGAUCUGACCUUAGUUCCUUUGUUUUGUCUUUGUUUUAGUAUGGUCAGGGCGUGAGUUGGGGUGGGCAGUCU
rnacentral:lncRNA from 13 species